AUGUUAAGCCAUUCAAUUAGCAGCUGCAAAUUUGCACCAAAGCCAUCUUCCGUGAGAGAGUUCACUAUGAACUAUUUAUUAUAAUCCAGGGCAUUUCUCAAUAGGCAAAUAGGCAAUCAAGUUAGGAGAGGGAAGCUUAGGUUUUCUUAUUUUUUUUUUUCUAAGUGGGUGGUGGGUAAGCUCAUCUGCCAAAAUAAAACCACUUUUAAAAUCAGAAGAUGUUAAUUCUCAAAUUUGCAAUUGCUAUUAUUGAAUUGAAACAACAGUUGUGAUGACACCUGGGAAAACCAAUGUAAAUAAAAACAAACAAAAGCUAUGUUCAAUGUGGAAAUCCAUCAUUUAUUAGUAUGGCUCUCUCUUGGAGUUGAUGAGGGAAACUAAAGAGGUUUCUAAUAUUACAUGACACUGUCAAUACUCAGGGCAAGGAUCACAUUUUAAUCUUAGGAAAUCAGAAGAUGAUGUGUGUGCCAAAACCCCCUGGGAAAGCAAGUCAUACUUCAUGCAGGAUUCCAUUUAUAGGAUCAAGCCAGUACCUAUUUUAAUAUCCCAUAUUAUAAUGUGGGCAUGCUUAUAUUAAAUCACUUUUAGAGAAACACUAGGUGACUAAUAUGUGACAAUGAUAUGUUUGCAGACUAAUACAUUCAGAACAACAACAGAAUAAUGAGCUAAUUUGUAAAGUACCAGAUGGAAUUGCUGAAAGCCAGUGGCUUAAGCGCUAUCAUAAUUGUCCCUUGUACUCCAAGAAGACAUUUCUAGUAAUCUUGCUAUCCACAUCUUUGCUUUUGGAUGAACAGUUUGAGGUGUAACUAAUCCUCUUACCAUAAAGGUAGGUCUAUGUAUUUGAACAUGCUUGCUACUGGGAGAACUCUGGCAGUAUGAAGUUCUGCUUUUUUCUUUUUUUUCUUUCUUUUUUUUUUUUAAUGGCUGCACCCGCAGCACAUGGAGGUUCCCAGGCCAGGCAUUGAAGCUAAGUCACAGCUGCAACCUAUCCCCACAACUGCAGCAAUGCCGGAUCCUUUAACCCAGUGUGCUGAGUGGGGAACAAACUCACACCUCUGCAGCAACCUGAACCACUGCAGUCAGGUUUGUAACCCACUGCAUCAUAGUGGGAACUCCUGCUUUAAAAAAACAAAAACAACCCCCCCCAAAACAAAAACCCCUCUACUGUCUGAAUGGCAUCCCAUAAUGAGGGACCUUUCAUCUUAACUGCCCUCCAGUCCACGUUACUGUUGUUAUUCUGUUGAUGCUGUUUCUUUGAUAGUUCCUGAACAAUGAAGUGCAUUCACAUUUAUACUUGUACAGUGUCUCUUUUUCCUCUCUGUUGGUAAACUCCAGCUCAAUGAUACGGGCACCCCAUCCUCUGUACUUUUGAAAUUGCCUUUUCCAUUUUUCCUUCCUUCACCCAAGUUAAUCCAAGGGUGACUAACCCUCUUAUCAUGAGCCAUGUCCUCCCUCCUCUAGUCCCCAACCAAGCCUUGAGAUAGAUAAACCUAAGCCCCAGUUUUGCCUCUUUCUGCAUUUCUUCUUCUCUCAGGCCUGAAUGUAAACUAGCUAAUUUGUGCUGUUAGGUUAAUAGAAAUGUUUCUGCAGAAAGCAUGGAUUGGUGGAAGGAGCCCAGGCUUUUGGUAUUAUCAGACAAACUUAAGAUCUCCUUUCACUUUGUUCAUCUUGGGCUCAUUUCUCAACCUUCACUGAAUCUUAUUUUUUUCACCUGGAAAACAAUUCCUAUUUCUUAAGAUUUGGAAUUACUGUAGUAUACUGACUGUUCAUGAGAAGGUAUAGGUUAACCACUUAGCUCAUGUGAGAAAUCAUUCAUAUUUAUUUCCAUUCAUCCUCCAAUAUUUGCCACCUAACCUGCUGACUAUAAUGGUGGGAUGGUUAAAUUAGGGAAGAAGAGAAACAAUGAUUAGAAAUAUGAAAAGGUUAAGCUGUAUAGGCUUCUCAAGCAAUUACUAAUGCAAAGUGAGUUAGCCGGGUGGGUGCUAAACAUAGCCAUGGUACAAUUUUUGUUUCAUUUACUUUAAGAAGAGCCUAGAAAUUAAUUAAAAUGAGACCAACAACCCAAAGGAAAAGUGAGAAACGAAUGCAAAUAAACAUCACAUAAGGAGAACUACAAAUAGCUAUAGCCAUUAGAAAAGACAUUCUAUCUCAGUGAUAACCAAAGAAAUAAGUCCACACUACAAGGAGAUAUUUUGCCUAUCACAUUGCUAAAAACGAAAGAAUAAAAAUAUCUAAUGAUGGUGAAGGGGUAGGAAACAGGUACACCAAUAACAGUUCCACCAUUUGGUGGAAACAACGAUUGCAAACACUUUCUUGGAGUACAACUUAGACUUUUUCAAAUGUAAAAAGAUUUGAUUUUUAGAAGUCUAUCCUACAAAAGUGAUUCCUUUAAUGCAAUCUUACACACACACACACACACACACACACACACACUCAUUUUGGAAAUGUUGACAGGCUAAAGAUGCUUAAAUACAUAUAGUAACAAAUACAAAAUACUAACAAAAGAUCAAAAUAUUUUAAGUAUGAUUAAAGAAAAUAAUAUAGGUUUUAAAACUGUGUAGGUGAUUUGCUAUUUUCAGAGCUAAACAUUAAGUAUUUAAUAGCUGGUGACCCAAAGUCCAAACAGAUUUUUCUAUCCAUUUAAAAAUUUGAAACCUUUUACAAUAUAAUUGAUUGAUACUUGGUUUUCCAAUCCUUUGUAAAAUAUAUUUAUACUUUUGAUGCUGAAUUUAUUUCUCAAGACCUAACACAUGAAAAUUAAAACAAUCUAUCAAACUCAAUUCUUCUGUCUUCUUUUUUUAAGAGGAAAUUCUUUAUUAUAAAUACAGCAUUUAUAACUAAUAAGGAAUUAAUAUCCAAGAUAUAUAAAUAGUUGCUACAAUAAGAAAAAAAAUCGUUACAAUCUGAUUGAAAAAAAUGGUCACAGGAUAUGAAUAUAUAAUUUGCUGAAGGAGAAAUUGUGAAAGUCAAUAUAUAUGAAAAGAAGUUCUGCUUCACUGGUAAUCUUGAAAAUGCAAUUUCAAAUAAUCGUGUAUGUUUCCUUCUCGUUUUAUUCUCCACCCCCACUCCCUACAGUAACUGCAAAGUUUUGCUUUGUUGUCACACUUUCUCUGACAUCUAAAAAACAUAAGGAACACUGUCAUCAUAAGCCAAAAUUGAUCUCAUUUACCCCAGGAAUACAAAAUUUCUCAAAUGAGAGUAUAAACUCCUAUUACUACAACACUUGGGCCCUGUUCUUUCUAUUAGAAUUAAAUUUUCUUGCAUUAUGGGGUCGGAGAAGGAGAGACAAUGUCUUUCCAAUACAAAGACCAUGCCCCUAAUAUCAUCAGCAAAGAGUGCCUCUGGGUCACUUUUACCAGGAGUGAAAUUGAGCCUCUUCAGUCACACCAUCUGGACUAAAGUGGCAUCGUUAAGUGCAUCCAUUAGUGAGCUGUCUGACCUAGGCCAUGAAACAGACUAAGUGGAACCAAUCCAACAGAAACUCAUUAGGCUGGUGGUCAGCCCAACUUGGCUACUUUACUGUAGGUAACAGAGAUCCAGUCUUUUAAAACGAACCGGUGCCUUCUUUUUCAAGGAGAAUUGUAUUAUAUAAGACAGGAAAUAUAUAUAAAACUCUGUUCAUCAGUGUGAACCCCAAAUCAGACAGGUAUAAGGGGUUUAGCUGAAUAUUGCUAGCUAUGUAAAUUGAGCUGAGCUUCUCAAAAGAGCACUGCAUUAAUUGAACUAUUAGCAUAAGAAACGAAUUAGCUUCCUGCCACAGACCAUUUAAAAACAUUACAAAUGAGGGGGAAAGGGUGAAAUAAAGGUAACAGUUUUGAGUCCCUUCAUGGCUAAAGGUUUUGUACACUGAGUUUUACACAAGUUAUUUCUUUUAAUAUUUGUAAUCACUCUAUAAAGCAAGUAGUAACACCCCCCACACUUUAUAGGUGAGGAAGUAGAAGAGCCUAGAGGGGGUAGGUCACUGCCCAUGGACCUAGAAAGUAAGUCGCUGAGCUGCAACUGGAUUCUACAGCUCACUCUGCCCACCACACCAUGAGAGCAGUCUUAUCCUGUUGGGUUGAGACCUGGCUGGAAAGGACUGCUGGGAGGCACAAUUAUAGAGACACUAGAUGCUGUUAAAAAUGGUCAUGAGCAUGAACUAGUAAGUGCCAGACACGAUCCUAAGCACUUGACUUACUGCCCCCCAUUUAAUCUUCUAGAAAACUACUACAAGUUUGUCCAUUUUACAGUGAUGAAAUCAAAGCCCAGAAGAGUUAUGUAAAUCACUGGAACUUACACGGUUAUGGGGAACUCAUCAAUUUUCAUUGUUUCUUUCCCCGUACUUCUCCAUUUUUUUAAUUGAUUUCUCACAGAAGGAAAAAAACAAGUGACUUGUUAUAAUAUGCUGACUUCAUAUAUGUUUGAGAAUUCUAUUGCCUUUCAGAUAAAACCUAACCGAUGUUUCUCCCAUUUGUGAGGUGCCAAGAUGCUAUUUGGGGAUAUGGGAGGCCCUUUGCUGACGUCUGCUUAUGUCAACAGAUACGCAUAGAAUUAGCCUGCAGUUCGAUUGCUAACCCCACCAACGACUUUCCAAACACCCAUCGGAAACAUCUUGUUUUAGUUCCUCCAUAUGCAAAAUUGUUUAAAAAUGCUAAUAUAUGAUUUGGCAGAGACAUAUUUACAUUGUCUCUUUGGCUGGUGGGGUGGGGAUUAUUUAUGUGGCACUGAGUGAGCUCCCAGCGCCCGAGCCCCUCCCCUUUCCUAUUAUCCGGCUGCUGCAGUGCAGUGUUGAAACAUCUGAUCAUUUAGAUCAUUAAAAAUCAAUCCAAUGACCAAACAUUUCUGCACAUUUCAGAGAAAUGACAAAAAGUACAGUAUUAGAUUGCUAUUAACUGGCUCUGGGUUUUCUUUUUACAGCUGCCAGGAAAGUCAUUUGGUAAAAUUGAUUAAACCAGCAUGCCAGGAGGAGAGAGAAAAAGAGCAGAGAAAUGUAAACACAGUGAGCUGAGAGAGGAGGGUGAUGUUUUUCUUGGGAAUGAAGGGAGAUGUUGCUGAGGGAAGGAAGAGGGGGUGGGUGGGAGGAGAAACCUUGCAUAUAAUGAGCAUACUAUAAUUUAGGGUAUAAGAGAUUCAAGAUGGUAGGAUAAAAGCAACCAAAAUGCAGAAACAAUAGAGGCAGAAGGGAUAAAGAAGAGGCAAGCUAUCCAUGUGCUCCUAACAGAAUAUCUCCAUUGGUCACACUGCAUGGUUUGACUGAAUUAAUCCAAGAGACAUCACUGGUAUGCAGGUAUGAAGCUGAUUUGAGAAUU
rnacentral:lncRNA from 1 species